rnacentral:lncRNA from 1 species
CUCUUAUUUAAUCUUAAAGCAUCUCACAUCAUCCUACUUUACUCCAAAUCAUCGCCUCUGUGUCAAUGUCAUAACAGAAAACUUUCCCCCUAUUUUAAGAUCCUAUUAAAACCUGCUAGCGAUAACCUAUUAUUUCCCUCCACCCACAAUUAAAUCAGGUGCCGGCUCUGAGCUUGGCAGCCAGCGAGCUGCCGGGUGCGUGAAGCAGCGCCAGGCAGAGGGCCCGGCAGGAUUUCCCAAGGGGGCAUCAGUUGCAGAGCUUCUAGAAGGGUGAGGCUGGGGUUGGGGAGCUGUCUUGGAAUUCAAGAGGGUUACACAGCACUGCUGACCGCAGGCGGGCCCUGCCUGGCUCUUCCAGAGAGUCAGAGGCAGCCACUGCUGUGCCUUGAUCUAGAUCCAUGAAUUGCAUUGUCACAAGCAAAGAAGAAACUGUUCUGUGCUUCUUACACGGAGAUCUGUUGGGUGAUCCAUGUAGGAAACUAGAAUUCCUCUGUCCAGGGACUCGAGUCCAGGAAAAGAGCAAAUAUGCACGUGUGUCUGGACCUAUGAGAAGUCAAAAGAAAGCAGGACCUUUACCAGUGAUUGCUCUUACUUGGAAACUCUCCUGGCAUUUUGUAGGCAAUAAAAACGUAAAAAGAAUACUCUCUGCAGAGACUUUCACAAGCCUGGCCCCCAGUUCAUAAUCUGCGGCACAAAACAUCUUCAAUCUGAUACCAGAGCUGUUUAUCAAUCUGUCCAACAGCAACAUAGGAACCAGUACUGCUCUUAUGACAAGCCCCGGGUCAGUUCUCCUAUCACUGAAACCCCCACCAACAUUGUGAAAAAAAAAAAAAAAAAAAAACCAUGCCGAUCUGAGAAAACACUGAGGAAAAUUUCUCUAAGAAAGACACAGAAGUGAAAAUGUGAUACCUGCAAAGUAAAAAUCGUGAUUCGAUAUUAAUAACAAUUAACUGCUCUCUGAUUAGCUAUCCUUAUCCGGAGUCAGGACUACUGCAGAGCAGAACUAUAAAAGAAACUCUUUGAUCCAUUGGAAAACUCCCUUUGAGCGUCUUCAACGCUUUCCCCAUUGUAUCCUCCUGCUCCACUGAUCUCUGUAGGGUUCUCUUCCCGACUGGCCCCCAGAGAAAAUUUUGUUCUCUGAACCUUCUCUGCUCUCCAUUAGAGUCUCAUUGGA